CGGAUAAAGGUGUUAAAGAAUGUUACAAAGCUUUACCAAGAAAGUUGGAAAAACUAGCCCACUAGGAAAUACCAAUUUAUCCUCUCUAGAACCCUAUUAUUUACGUCUAUUCCAUUACCAAUUACACCCACCAUAUUUUUUCAUCAAUAUCCCGCCAUAUUCACGCUUCUUUCAGAAUGCUCUCCCUCCUUUCAACGGUAGGGGUAUUAGGAAGCAAGUUGAUUUGAGAAUCGGAUUGAUAUAUAUUAUUCUUGUAUUGGAGAUGAAAUUAUUGUGUAUAUACAUCUUCAUUAUCAAGUUACACAAAGGAUGAUGGUGGAUGGGAUUUUUGUCCAUAUGAUAAUUUUGUUUUGUUUGAGCAGACCUGACACUUGAAGAUAUCAUAUACAAGA